rnacentral:rRNA from 1 species
UACGUAGGGAGCAAGCGUUGUCCGGAUUUAUUGGGCGUAAAGAGCUCGUAGGCGGCUUAGAAAGUCAGGUGUGAAACCUCCAGGCUCAACCUGGAGACGCCACUUGAUACUUCUAUGGCUUGAGUUCGGCAGGGGAACACGGAAUUCCUGGUGUAGCGGUGAAAUGCGCAGAUAUCAGGAGGAACACCGGUGGCGAAGGCGGGUCUCUGGGCCGAUACUGACGCUGAGGAGCGAAAGCGUGGGGAGCGAACAGG